GUGAGCCUACGGGACGCAGCAGUAGGGAAUCUUCGGCAAUGGGGGCAACCCUGACCGAGCAACGCCGCGUGAGUGAAGAAGGUCUUCGGAUCGUAAACCUCUGUUGUAAGAGAAGAACGUGUGUGAGAGUGGAAAGUUCACACAGUGACGGUAACUUACCAGAAAGGGACGGCUAACUACGUGCCAGCAGCCGCGGUAAUACGUAGGUCCCGAGCGUUAUCCGGAUUUAUUGGGCGUAAAGCGAGCGCAGGCGGUUGGAUAAGUCUGAAGUCAAAGGC
rnacentral:rRNA from 1 species